rnacentral:rRNA from 1 species
GCCUAGCCUUAACCUAACAAUCAAAUAACCUAUUGUUCGCCAAAUAACUACGAGUGAAAACUUAAAAUUUAAAAGACUUGACGGUACCUCACAUCAACCUAGAGGAGCCUGUCUAACAACCGAUACCCCACGAUUAACCCGACCCCCCCUGGCCCAACAGUCUAUAUACCGCCGUCGCCAGCUUACCUUGUGAAAGAAACAAAGUGAGCCCAACAGCCCCCACUAGCACGACAGGUCGAGGUGUAACUAAUGAGGGGGACAAGAUGGGCUACAUUUUCUAAUACAGAAAACACGAACAGACUAUGAAAUUAGAAACUGAAGGCGGAUUUAGCAGUAAGUUAAAAACAAAAUGUUUAACCGAAACUAACGCAAUGAGGUGCGUACACACCGCCCGUCAUCCCUGUUAAACCCACAAAAAAAUCCAUAAACCACUACCACCAUUUUUAAAGCAGGGCAAGUCGUAACAUGGUAAGCGUACUGGAAAGUGCGCUUAGAAA